rnacentral:tRNA from 1 species
GCAGCCGUAGCUCAGUAGGAUAGAGCGAAGGAUUCCUAAUCCUUAGGUCGCAGGUUCGAUUCCUGCCGGUUGCACCA